CAUCCCUUCACCUUCCAGCAUAAGAGUUCAAGGGAUCUGGCUGGUACAGAGUGGCAGAGACAAUGAAGAUGAUUUCCAGCAACAGUUUGUGCUGGCUUUGUGUGUUUGGAAUUUGGAAGAGCCCAAGGUUGCUCUGCAUUUCUUUUAUAGAGGUGUAACACUCUUCACUAAGGGAAGGCUGAAUCUCACCUACCCUGUCUGCCAUCCUUGCGCCCAAGAGGGAGGAUUUGCAUUACUAAAGUCCUUUGUUAUGGAAAUAUGGCUGCUAUUUAGGGUACAGCCAGAUUCACAACAAUAGACAAAAGAUCAUAUCCUGCCUCUGUGAAACUUGCCAUGAGCAGAUUACUCUUGACUGGUGUUCCUAAGACUAGGUUUAUUAAGCCUUCGAAAUAAUUCCAGCGUUUAUGAUGCCACUAACUCCCUAUUUUUACAGGUUGGCUCAGGUUCAAGUGUCAUUUUGUCUGUCCUCUUGAUACACUGUAUACCAAAGGAGUGCAAAGCUAGGGGUAAACUCUACAGCCAAACUCCUGCUAAUUAUGAUUUCUUCUCUGAAUAACUAGUUGUGGUAUCAAAGAUGUAGCAAAAUGUGCUAUUAAUGCAGUGGCAGGAGGGUGUUGCAUUUUUCUAAACUAACUGAUCUGUCCUAAAACAACCUCGGUCUAUAAAAACACGGAAAAUAUGAGUUGCAACUGCAUGAACUGUUCCUGCUUCUACUCCUACGAACUAGGAGAAAAUAAGUUUAGUUAAAGAAUAACAGAAGGGGACAGUUUUUGUUCUCUGAGUGCACGUGUUUAUACAACUUUCUGUAGGCAGCCAGCUACCCCAUCAUAGCCAUUGCAGUAAGUGAUGGGCUUCAGCUUCUCCAGAAAUAACCUCUUACCUAAAGAUGCACAUUUUUUCAUUCCUUUCCUGUCUGCUUUCAUAGGUAACUCAUGCCCCAAUGAACCCCUUUCAGGCAGAUUUAUUCACCCGAUUUGCACCUUGGUAAUAAAUUGCCAUUUAGUGGCAUCAAAGGAGAAUGUAAGUGACCACAAUCGUCCGCACCUUCCCUGAGAGCUCGGGAGACUGUCCCAUUUCGUUCCACAAUCCCGAUCUGCACUGGAAUGUCUAUCCUUACCUCUGAGGACAAACUGCAAGUAAAUUUCAACCACAGAGUAAGCUUGUGAAAAACCUGGCUUCUAUGGUUUUAUUGUGAGAGCACCACAUCGUUUUCUUUAACACAUGAUUGAGUCUUUUACCUUCAUCCCAUGUGUUUAUACAGGGAAAAUCAGGCCAUUGGACAGCAGAAUGUUUAAACAUUGCAUAUGCUUCCCUGUGCACUGUGACUAAAACAGGUCUCAUAAAAUUAAUUUGAUAAAAUUAUGUUCUCUGUUGAAUCAGGGAUAGAAACUCAUCAACCUAACUUUAUCCAGUAUGUGAAGUGACAGGAAAAGAAUCACAUGGUAAGAUCCAUAUGAAAGCUACAAAAAGAGAAGUUUUAGAAGUCAUCAAAAUGCACAUAAACAAUUUUCUGGCGAGGGCAAUCUAGACCUCUGGCUUACUUGGGAUGCUUGCCAUCAAUAGGAAUCUUUCUCUUUGCUUUCAGUGGGCACUGGUUCAGCCCUUGGAGAAGUUGCUUUUGAAAAGAUUUUGGCAGUUAAGGGAAGAUUCCAUGAGAAACAGCAGGACUCCACUUUCCAUGCAAGGAUCUGGGUAUGCUUCAGCAGCUGUUAUUCAGAUGCAGCUGGACCUGCAUCACAGUUUGCUUGCUGUAUUGUUGAGUGUGAAAUAAUAAAUUUACUUUUUUUAAAACUCACUGAAAUGGUGAGCUCCAAAGUAAAACAUGGGACAUAAGUGGGGAUUUUGAGCUCAUGUUGUGUCCUGGCCUGAGCAAAUGCCGGAGGGGCACUUCCCACUGCCAGCAGAGAGAUGGGAGCAUCGUGGGUGGAUUGAGCUGGACAUAACACAGAUGAAUGUUAAUCCAACCGAAAGUUGUUGUCACCAGAUGGAAGGGCACAGAAAUGUAGAAGGUGGGCGUCCAUCUUUGUACACAGUUCCUGUGUCAGAGAUUAAUUAGACUCUGCCAUCUGUAAAUGGAUCCUGAGAACUACAUGGAACUGGGACAUUUGUUUCACAUUUGUAUGCAAAGACAGAAGCACUGGCUGCACAGUGGUCUCCUGACUCUGAACUGUGGCAGUGGUUCUAUACAAACUCAGAGGGAAAUGUGCCAGCAGUACCACUGAACAUGCAUUACAUGUAAUACAGCAGGAAAUUUGGACAGCAGCUUGUUAUAACACUGUUUUGGAAGUGCAUGAGUCACUAUGUAUCAGGAAUGUGAACCUUUCUCAGCAUGUUUUUGUGCUAGAUAUCCUCUCAUGCCAUUUGAGAAAGCCUGAAGGGCCAAAGCUGAGUUAGUUUAUCCGGGAUCUUCAUACUCGAAUAUCUAAUCCAUUUUGGUCACCUUUCCUUCUGUUUACAAAAAACCAGAAUGCAAUCCAGUAAUUUCUUCCCCCAUUAAACUUUAUUUAAAACACUUGUGUAAUUUGCACUAAUUUCCUUCUAAAUCAGAGCUGACCAGUGAGCCUUUCACCUCUGCUUUUGCACUGACUGACUUCUCUGAUGCCUUCAGAUGAAGCUCCCUCACUUUUCACUCCACACCACCGUGUGUACAGUACUCCUUCAUUGUUCUGUUUCAAGAUGUUUCUUGCAAGACCAGACAGCAAUGCUGAUAAAAUCACAUAUGAGCUCUGCAUGCACUAAGCAUGCCAGGAGAUGCCUCUGCAUUUCCUUUGCUUCCUUUCUUUUCUCCCACUGACAGUUGUUUCUAUCUCCAGAACUGCAAAUCUGUCUCUGGAGCCUUAGGAUUCAGUCAGGACUCUGAAUUACACCGAUGGCAAAAGGUUCCUCUCUCUAACCAAUGCCAUUAUCUUGGCAACAUCUUGCAGUUUUUUCUUACAUUAAAAUCCAGCACCAAACUGAAUUAUCCUUCUCUUAUCAACCUAUUAAAAUAGGUUUAUUUAAUCUGAUAAAUACAGAUAAGCACAUAUGCACACAGUCUUUC